rnacentral:rRNA from 1 species
GUGGGGAAUAUUGCACAAUGGGGGAAACCCUGAUGCAGCAACGCCGCGUGAGUGAUGACGGUCUUCGGAUUGUAAAGCUCUGUCUUCAGGGACGAUAAUGACGGUACCUGAGGAGGAAGCCACGGCUAACUACGUGCCAGCAGCCGCGGUAAUACGUAGGUGGCAAGCGUUGUCCGGAUUUACUGGGCGUAAAGGGAGCGUAGGUGGAUAUUUAAGUGGGAUGUGAAAUACUCGGGCUUAACCUGGGUGCUGCAUUCCAAACUGGAUAUCUAGAGUGCAGGAGAGGAAAGUAGAAUUCCUAGUGUAGCGGUGAAAUGCGUAGAGAUUAGGAAGAAUACCAGUGGCGAAGGCGACUUUCUGGACUGUAACUGACACUGAGGCUCGAAAGCGUGGGGAGCAAACAGGAUUAGAUACCCCAGUAGUCC